rnacentral:sRNA from 1 species
CAAGCAUGGUAGUAAAGAAGCAAACAUCCAUAGGAUGAGUAACCAGUACCUAGAGGUCGGCAGCUCACGAAGAACAAUGUCAAGAACCUGCAGAGCUUCCUGUGGGGCAUCUGAUUGUUUCCCCUCCAAAAACAUUCCUAGGUGAUGCAGAUCAGCACGUGCAACUAGCUUGAUCACAACUUUAAAUUCCCUUUCUCGUCU